rnacentral:misc_RNA from 1 species
GUGAAGCAUCGGAAACCCCCCUCUGUGAAAGGAGGGACCAAGGGUCCGAUAUCCACUUUUUUUCACACACUUGUGCACUCGUCUUUUUUAUACAACCCUGUUGCAUUUAUAAAGCAGUUCAUAAUGUAAACUUUGAUAAAGAAAGAA